UUAAGUGACUAAGCGUACAAGGUGGAUGCCUUGGCAAUCAGAGGCGAAGAAGGACGUGCUAAUCUGCGAAAAGCUUGGAUGAGUCGAUAAGAGGCGUUUAAUCCAAGAUGUCCGAAUGGGGAAACCCAGUAGAUGAAGAAUCUACUAUCACUGACUGAAUACAUAGGUAAGUGAGGCAAACCGGGAGAACUGAAACAUCUAAGUACCCCGAGGAAAAGAAAUCAACCGAGAUUUCGUUAGUAGCGGCGAGCGAACGCGAAGGAGCCUGUUAGUGAUAAUGACAGAGACAGAGGAACAAGCUGGGAAGCUUAGCGACACAGGGUGAUAGCCCCGUACUCGAAGUCCAGGUCAUGGUACUAAGCUAACGACAAGUAGGGCGGGACACGUGAUAUCCUGUUUGAAGAUGGGGGGACCAUCCUCCAAGGCUAAAUACUCCUGAUUGACCGAUAGUGAACCAGUACUGUGAAGGAAAGGCGAAAAGAACCCCGGUGAGGGGAGUGAAAUAGAACCUGAAACCUUGUACGUACAAGCAGUGGGAGCCCUUUAAGGGUGACUGCGUACCUUUUGUAUAAUGGGUCAGCGACUUAUAUUUUGUAGCGAGGUUAACCGAAUAGGGGAGCCGAAGGGAAACCGAGUCUUAACUGGGCGAAUAGUUGCAAGGUAUAGACCCGAAACCCGGUGAUCUAGCCAUGGGCAGGUUGAAGGUUGGGUAACACUAACUGGAGGACCGAACCGACUAAUGUUGAAAAAUUAGCGGAUGACUUGUGGCUGGGGGUGAAAGGCCAAUCAAACCGGGAGAUAGCUGGUUCUCCCCGAAAUCUAUUUAGGUAGAGCCUUGAGCGGACACCUUCGGGGGUAGAGCACUGUUUCGGCUAGGGGUCCAUCCCGGAUUACCAACCCGAUGCAAACUACGAAUACCGAAGAGUGAUACUCAGGAGACACACGGCGGGUGCUAACGUCCGUCGUGGAGAGGGAAACAACCCAGACCGCCAGCUAAGGUCCCAAAGUCUAUAUUAAGUGGGAAACGAAGUGGGAAGGCUUAGACAGCUAGGAUGUUGGCUUAGAAGCAGCCAUCAUUUAAAGAAAGCGUAAUAGCUCACUAGUCGAGUCGGCCUGCGCGGAAGAUGUAACGGGGCUCAAAUAUAGCACCGAAGCUGCGGCAUCAGUAGCAAUACUGUUGGGUAGGGGAGCGUUGUGUAAGCGGAUGAAGGUGUGUUGAGAAGCAUGCUGGACGUAUCACAAGUGCGAAUGCUGACAUAAGUAACGAUAAAACGGGUGAAAAACCCGUUCGCCGGAAGACCAAGGGUUCCUGUCCAACGUUAAUCGGGGCAGGGUGAGUCGGCCCCUAAGGCGAGGCUGAAAAGCGUAGUCGAUGGGAAACCUAAACCGUACUGAAAACCGACACAGGUGGUCAGGUAGAGAAUACUCAGGCGCUUGAGAGAACUCGGGUGAAGGAACUAGGCAAAAUAGCACCGUAACUUCGGGAGAAGGUGCGCCGGCGUAGAUUGUAGUCCCUCGCGGGCGAAGGUUGAACCGGUCGAAGAUACCAGCUGGCUGCAACUGUUUAUUAAAAACACAGCACUCUGCAAACACGAAAGUGGACGUAUAGGGUGUGAUGCCUGCCCGGUGCUGGAAGGUUAAUUGAUGGUGUAAUCGAAAGAGAAGCUCCUGAUCGAAGCCCCAGUAAACGGCGGCCGUAACUAUAACGGUCCUAAGGUAGCGAAAUUCCUUGUCGGGUAAGUUCCGACCUGCACGAAUGGCAUAAUGAUGGCCAGGCUGUCUCCACCCGAGACUCAGUGAAAUUGAAAUCGCCGUGAAGAUGCGGUGUACCCGCGGCUAGACGGAAAGACCCCGUGAACCUUUACUAUAGCUUGACACUGAACAUUGAAUUUUGAUGUGUAGGAUAGGUGGGAGACUUAGAAGUAGUCACGCCAGUGAUUAUGGAGUCGACCUUGAAAUACCACCCUUUAACGUUUGAUGUUCUAACGAAGAUUGCGAAACGUGGUCUCGGACAGUGUCUGGUGGGUAGUUUGACUGGGGCGGUCUCCUCCCAAAGAGUAACGGAGGAGCACGAAGGUUUGCUAAUGACGGUCGGACAUCGUCAGGUUAGUGCAAUGGUAUAAGCAAGCUUAACUGCGAGACAGACAAGUCGAGCAGGUACGAAAGUAGGUCAUAGUGAUCCGGUGGUUCUGAAUGGAAGGGCCAUCGCUCAACGGAUAAAAGGUACUCCGGGGAUAACAGGCUGAUACCGCCCAAGAGUUCAUAUCGACGGCGGUGUUUGGCACCUCGAUGUCGGCUCAUCACAUCCUGGGGCUGAAGUAGGUCCCAAGGGUAUGGCUGUUCGCCAUUUAAAGUGGUACGCGAGCUGGGUUUAGAACGUCGUGAGACAGUUCGGUCCCUAUCUGCCGUGGGCGUUGGAGAAUUGAUUGGGGCUGCUCCUAGUACGAGAGGACCGGAGUGGACGCACCACUGGUGUUCCGGUUGUGUCGCCAGACGCAUUGCCGGGUAGCUAAGUGCGGAAGAGAUAAGUGC
rnacentral:rRNA from 1 species